rnacentral:lncRNA from 1 species
GCCUUUUCACUAUCCAAAGUGGAAUCGACAUGGAAAUCAGUGGGUGAAAUUUCAGUAUUAUUCCAACCGAAACCUGUUAGCUAUGUGAAAGUGGAAGAGAAGUGUAUUAGACAUGUAAGGAGAAAGAGAUGGGAUCUGAAAUCCUUCAUUCUGUAAAGUCAAAAAGGCAAGAGGAGUAUGGCUGGGAAGUAGAAAUCAUUUAAAAUCCACCCAAACUAGGAAUAAUCCAAGGUGAAUUAAGCAAGAUUUCUUUUGCGUCUCCAAGAUUCGAAAACAUGACCUCUAAGAAAGACUUAAAUUUGAAUUCUAGCACCAUUUGGAUUUAACUCUCUUUUUGAAGGGAAAUGGAAAGGUCAUGGGUUUGAUUCUUGGGGACGCGAUGGAAAUCUGUGAGGGGUGAGGAAUAAGAUGGGUUUAGACUCUCCGAUAACGGACAGUACAUAAGUUAAUAACUUGGACAUAGAGGCCAUGUCGUUACAAAAAAUGCACGUUUUCUGUAACGAUCCAACCUCUAUGCCCAAGCCGUAACCCCUCACAGAUUUAUAUAGUAUCCAAGGAAUUGAACCCAUGACAUUUCUCGUAAGAGAGUCUCAAGUUGAAUAUCGGUAUCAAUUGGACAACGGGUAAGAUGAGUUUAGGCUCUUCCAUAACUAACAGUAUAUAAGUUAAUGACUUGGGCAUAUAGGUCAGGUCGUUACACAACGCAUGUAACCAACUUAACAUUUCAUUCUUACACACAUGUGAGUGCAAUACCUAUGUGCAUUAGGCAUGUGAUUGUUUGAAAUAUUAAACUGCAUACUAAUGUGCAUCCUUUUCCUAAUUUUUGAAACAUAGAGAAAAGAAUCCCCAGAUGGUAAAAUAAGUUAAUGACUUGGACAUAAAGGCAGGUCGUUACACAAUACAUGUAACCAACUUAACAUUUCAUUCUUAUGCACAAGUGAGUGCAAAACCUAUGCGCAUUAGGCCUGUUAUUUUUUGAAAUAUUAAACUGCCUAAUAAUGGGCAUCCUUUUCCUAAUUUUUGAAACAUAGAGAGAAGAUUCCCCAUCUUUGCGACGAACCUACAGAGACCAGGAAUGCCAUCUUUUCUUUUA